rnacentral:tRNA from 3 species
AAGAAAGUGGCAGAGUGGUUACGCGGCUGGCUUGAAACCGGCAAAUGGGGGUUCAAUUCCUUCCUUUCUUG